GAUGAAGAACGCAGCGAAAUGCGAUAAGUAAUGCGAAUUGCAGAAUUUCCGUGAAUCAUCGAAUCUUUGAACGCACAUUGCGCCCGCUGGUAUUCCGGCGGGCAUGCCUGUUCGAGCGUCAUUUCAACCCUCAAGCUCUCCGGAGUUUGGUGUUGGGGCGCCUGGGGCUUUUCGACCUCAGGGCCCUCAAGUCCAUCGGCGGGACCGCCAGGACACUGAGCGCAGUAGUAUUAUUUCGCUCGGUAGGAUCUUCCACGGCGGGUCGAUCUGGCCGCUAAACCCCCCAAUUCUCACCAAAGGUUGACCUCGGAUCAGGUAGGAAUACCCGCUGAACUUAAGCAUAUCAAUAAGCGGAGGA
rnacentral:misc_RNA from 1 species